UACUCUGAAUCCCUCACUCACUCCCAGCCUUUCUUUCUUGCUUUCCUUUAAUCGCAAUUCACAUUCAGUCACAUUCUCGGUAAGGCGAUUCCAUUUGUGAGGUGUUCUUUUCUCUCCUAAUUCAAGGUGGGAGCCAUGGAAGACACCAAUCCAUAGAGACAUUGCCCUAACAUCUGAUGGAAAUACUGCCACCGGAAAGUCAUCUGCUCGAAAGUUGCAUCCUUCUAAUGAGCAGCAUGGAACUUCAUCCAAGGAUGGGAUAUCCAGUUCCGAUUUAUCAAAGCAGUUUGGCAAAGUUCUUCAAGAGUUUCAUAACCGAACCAAAGAAUCGGACGUUCAAAAAUAUAAGAUUCCAGAUUUACAGCUCUUGUUUUUUUUUUCCUGGUUGCAUUUUCUGAUUCAGAAGUUUUACAACUAUUUGAUGGACACAAUGGAUCUGCUGCUGCUAUUUAUGCCAAGGAGAAUCUUCUAAAUAAUGUUUUAAGUGCAAUUCCUUCAGAUCUGAACAGAGAUGAGUGGAUAGUAGCAUUGCCCAGGGCUUUGGUUGCUGGCUUUGUAAAAACAGAUAAAGAUUUUCAAGAGAAAGGUACUGAUAGUUCAUUCCUUGCAGAGUUUGAUAUGUUCUCUGUUAAUUAUUUGUUUAAGAGAGAAUUCAUGUACAUCACUUAAAUCUUCAUGUUAAUAUCACCAAAACUAUUUGGACAUUUUUCUAAUUUUUGUUGUCAUCUAUCACUCAAAGACUUCUCAAAUCUUGGUAUAAUUUUAAGAUUUCUAACCUUUAUUAGAAGGU